UACAGAGGUGCGAGCGUUAAUCGGAAUUACGUGGGCGUAAAGCGUGCGUAGACGGUAGCGUAAGUCAGAUGUGAAAGCCCCGGGCUCAACCUGGGAACUGCAUUUGAGACUGCUCUGCUCGGGUGCGGAAGAGGGAAGCGGAAUUUCCGGUGUAGCGGUGAAAUGCGUAGAUAUCGGAAGGAACACCAGUGGCGAAAGCGGCUUCCUGGUCCGACACCGACGUUCAGGCACGAAAGCGUGGGGAGCAAAGCAGG
rnacentral:rRNA from 1 species